rnacentral:rRNA from 1 species
GAUGAACGCUGGCGGCGUGCCUAAUACAUGCAAGUCGAGCGAACGGACGAGAAGCUUGCUUCUCUGAUGUUAGCGGCGGACGGGUGAGUAACACGUGGAUAACCUACCUAUAAGACUGGGAUAACUUCGGGAAACCGGAGCUAAUACCGGAUAAUAUUUUGAACCGCAUGGUUCAAAAGUGAAAGACGGUCUUGCUGUCACUUAUAGAUGGAUCCGCGCUGCAUUAGCUAGUUGGUAAGGUAACGGCUUACCAAGGCAACGAUGCAUAGCCGACCUGAGAGGGUGAUCGGCCACACUGGAACUGAGGCACGGUCCAGACUCCUACGGGAGGCAGCAGUAGGGAAUCUUCCGCAAUGGGCGAAAGCCUGACGGAGCAACGCCGCGUGAGUGAUGAAGGUCUUCGGAUCGUAAAACUCUGUUAUUAGGGAAGAACAUAUGUGUAAGUAACUGUGCACAUCUUGACGGUACCUAAUCAGAAAGCCACGGCUAACUACGUGCCAGCAGCCGCGGUAAUACGUAGGUGGCAAGCGUUAUCCGGAAUUAUUGGGCGUAAGCGCGCGUAGGCGGUUUUUUAAGUCUGAUGUGAAAGCCCACGGCUCAACCGUGGAGGGUCAUUGGAAACUGGAAAACUUGAGUGCAGAAGAGGAAAGUGGAAUUCCAUGUGUAGCGGUGAAAUGCGCAGAGAUAUGGAGGAACACCAGUGGCGAAGGCGACUUUCUGGCCUGUAACUGACGCUGAUGUGCGAAAGCGUGGGGAUCAAACAGGAUUAGAUACCCUGGUAGUCCACGCCGUAAACGAUGAGUGCUAAGUGUUAGGGGGUUUCCGCCCCUUAGUGCUGCAGCUAACGCAUUAAGCACUCCGCCUGGGGAGUACGACCGCAAGGUUGAAACUCAAAGGAAUUGACGGGGACCCGCACAAGCGGUGGAGCAUGUGGUUUAAUUCGAAGCAACGCGAAGAACCUUACCAAAUCUUGACAUCCUUUGACAACUCUAGAGAUAGAGCCUUCCCCUUCGGGGGACAAAGUGACAGGUGGUGCAUGGUUGUCGUCAGCUCGUGUCGUGAGAUGUUGGGUUAAGUCCCGCAACGAGCGCAACCCUUAAGCUUAGUUGCCAUCAUUAAGUUGGGCACUCUAAGUUGACUGCCGGUGACAAACCGGAGGAAGGUGGGGAUGACGUCAAAUCAUCAUGCCCCUUAUGAUUUGGGCUACACACGUGCUACAAUGGACAAUACAAAGGGCAGCGAAACCGCGAGGUCAAACAAAUCCCAUAAAGUUGUUCUCAGUUCGGAUUGUAGUCUGCAACUCGACUACAUGAAGCUGGAAUCGCUAGUAAUCGUAGAUCAGCAUGCUACGGUGAAUACGUUCCCGGGUCU